AGAUUGAGAGUUUGAUCCUGGCUCAGGAUGAACGCUAGCGGCAGGCCUAACACAUGCAAGUCGAGGGGUAACGAUGUCUUCGGACAGUCGACGACCGGCGCACGGGUGAGUAACGCGUAUACAACCUACCUUUAACAGGAGGAUAGCCCCGAGAAAUCGGGAUUAAUACUCCAUAACAUCGUUUUACCGCAUGGUAUUUCGAUUAAAACUCCGGUGGUUAAAGAUGGGUAUGCGUGACAUUAGUUUGUUGGUGAGGUAACGGCUCACCAAGACUACGAUGUCUAGGGGUUCUGAGAGGAUGAUCCCCCACACUGGUACUGAGACACGGACCAGACUCCUACGGGAGGCAGCAGUGAGGAAUAUUGGUCAAUGGACGCAAGUCUGAACCAGCCAUGCCGCGUGCAGGAUGACGGCCCUAUGGGUUGUAAACUGCUUUUAUUAAGGAAUAACUCCCUGGUCGUGUAUCAGGGCUGAACGUACUUAAAGAAUAAGCACCGGCUAACUCCGUGCCAGCAGCCGCGGUAAUACGGAGGGUGCAAGCGUUAUCCGGAUUUAUUGGGUUUAAAGGGUUCGCAGGCGGAAAUGUAAGUCAGUGGUGAAAUCCUGCAGCUUAACUGUAGAAUUGCCAUUGAUACUGUAUUUCUUGAGUAUAGUUGAGGUAGGCGGAAUGUGUUGUGUAGCGGUGAAAUGCUUAGAUAUGACACAGAACACCAAUUGCGAAGGCAGCUUACUAAACUAUAACUGACGCUGAGGCACGAAAGCGUGGGGAGCGAACAGGAUUAGAUACCCUGGUAGUCCACGCCGUAAACGAUGAUUACUCGUUGUUCGCGAUACAUAGCGAGUGACUGAGCGAAAGCAUUAAGUAAUCCACCUGGGGAGUACGUUGGCAACAAUGAAACUCAAAGGAAUUGACGGGGGCCCGCACAAGCGGAGGAAUAUGUGGUUUAAUUCGAUGAUACGCGAGGAACCUUACCUGGGCUUAAAUGGGGAGUGACAGACUUGGAAACAGGUUUUUCUUCGGACACUCUUCAAGGUGCUGCAUGGUUGUCGUCAGCUCGUGCCGUGAGGUGUCGGGUUAAGUCCCAGAACGAGCGCAACCCCUAUCGUUAGUUGCUAGCAGGGAAUGCUGAGGACUCUAGCGAAACUGCCGGUGUAAACCGAGAGGAAGGUGGGGAUGACGUCAAAUCAGCACGGCCCUUACGUCCAGGGCUACACACGUGUUACAAUGGCCGGUACAGAGGGCAGCUACUAUGUGAAUAGAUGCGAAUCUCCAAAACCGGUCUCAGUUCGGAUCGAAGUCUGCAACCCGACUUCGUGAAGCUGGAAUCGCUAGUAAUCGCGCAUCAGCCAUGGCGCGGUGAAUACGUUCCCGGGCCUUGUACACACCGCCCGUCAAGCCAUGGAAGCCGAGGGUACCUGAAGCAUGUAACCUAAAAGGAGCGUGCUAGGGUAAAAUUGGUGACUGGGGCUAAGUCGUAACAAGGUAGCCGUAG
rnacentral:rRNA from 1 species